GAUGAACGCUGGCGGCGUGCCUAAUACAUGCAAGUCGAACGAAACUUCUUUAUCACCGAGUGCUUGCACUCACCGAUAAAGAGUUGAGUGGCGAACGGGAGAGUAACACGUGGGCAACCUGCCCAAAAGAGGGGGAUAACACUUGGAAACAGGUGUUAAUACCGCAUAACCAUAGUUACCGCAGGGUAACUAUGUAAAAGGUGGCUAUACUACCGCUUUUGGAUGGGCCCGCGGCGCAUUAGCUAGUUGGUAGGGUAAAGGCUUACCAAGGCAAUGAUGCGUAGCCGAAUUGAGAGGUUGAUCGGCCACAUUGGGACUGAGACACGGCCCAAACUCCUACGGGAGGCAGCAGUAGGGAAUCUUCCACAAUGGGCGAAAGCCUGAUGGAGCAACGCCGCGUGGGUGAAGAAGGUCUUCGGAUCGUAAAACCCUGUUGUUAGAGAAGAAAGUGCGUGAGAGUAACUGUUCACGUUUCGACGGUAUCUAACCAGAAAGCCACGGCUAACUACGUG
rnacentral:rRNA from 1 species